rnacentral:rRNA from 1 species
UUGACCUCGGAUCAGGUAGGAAUACCCGCUGAACUUAAGCAUAUCAAUAAGCGGAGGAAAAGAAACCAACAGGGAUUGCCUCAGUAACGGCGAGUGAAGCGGCAACAGCUCAAAUUUGAAAUCUGGCCCUAGGCCCGAGUUGUAAUUUGCAGAGGAUGCUUUUGGUGAGGUACCUUCCGAGUCCCUUGGAACAGGGCGCCAUAGAGGGUGAGAGCCCCGUCUGGUUGGAUACCGAACCUCUGUAAAGCUCCUUCGACGAGUCGAGUAGUUUGGGAAUGCUGCUCUAAAUGGGAGGUAUAUGUCUUCUAAAGCUAAAUACCGGCCAGAGACCGAUAGCGCACAAGUAGAGUGAUCGAAAGAUGAAAAGCACUUUGGAAAGAGAGUUAAACAGCACGUGAAAUUGUUGAAAGGGAAGCGUUUACGACCAGACUUAGGCCCGGUUGAUCAACUAGCGUUCUCGCUGGUGCACUCUGCCGGCCUAGGCCAGCAUCAGUUCGCCCCGGGGGAUAAAGGCGUCGGGAAUGUAGCUCCCUCGGGAGUGUUAUAGCCCUUCGUGCAAUACCCUGAGGUGGACUGAGGUUCGCGCUCUGCAAGAUGCG